CAGCCGCCGCGGUAACACCAGCCCCUCGAGUGGUGGGGAUGAUUAUUGGGCCUAAAGCGUCCGUAGCCGGCUCUGUAAGUUUUCGGUUAAAUCUGUAUGCUCAACAUACAGGCUGCCGGGAAUACUGCAGAGCUAGGGAGUGGGAGAGGUAGACGGUACUCGGUAGGAAGGGGUAAAAUCCUUUGAUCUAUUGAUGACCACCUGUGGCGAAGGCGGUCUACCAGAACACGUCCGACGGUGAGGGAUGAAAGCUGGGGGAGCAAACCGGAUUAGAUACCCGGGUAGUCCCAGCUGUAAACUAUGCAAACUCAGUGAUGCAUUGGCUUGUGGCCAAUGCAGUGCUGCAGGGAAGCCGUUAAGUUUGCCGCCUGGGAAGUACGUACGCAAGUAUGAAACUUAAAGGAAUUGGCGGGGGAGCAC
rnacentral:rRNA from 2 species